GUGAGAGCCUCUGUGUACACAGUACAGUAGGGGGUGGGAGGCCAGUUAGGAAGAUUGUACAGAAGCAAUAAGAGAUGGUGGUUAUCUGGACUGGACCUGAAUGCAUACAUUCAAACCCAUUUCACAGAUGGAGUUCAUAAGAUUAACUAAUGGCUUGCUAUGCAUAAGGAAAAAAAAAAAGGCAUAGCCAAUUUGGAGAUCUACCUGUGCCCUUUCUGGGGAAGGAUAAAGAGGAGAAUAGAGACUGAGGAGGAAGAAAAUGGUUUUAUGGAAUGUAGGCUAAGUUGGAGUUAUGCUCACUUGCUACCUAAUGUCAAUUAACCCUGAACUUUCACAACUCUCCUACUAAACCACACAUUUUGAAUGAACAAUAACUGCUUCCAAUUCAUGUUGGCAUGCCCUACUCUGAACAUAAGUUCAAUUCACAUUUACCAAUUUAAUCAUCAAAAAGGAGGUCACUAGAAUAGCUAAAGCAUUCCUAAGAAACCAGUGUAGGUGGUAUCACAAUACCAGACCUCAAGCUCUACUACAGAGCUAUAUUAA